UGAAUUGUCUUCUAAUGUAAGAUAUCGUUAUCACGAUGAUGGAGGUUCGAAUCCUCCCAAUUCUA
rnacentral:tRNA from 1 species